GAUGAACGCUGGCGGCGUGCCUAACACAUGCAAGUCGAACGGAAGGACGGGGGCUUUGCUCCGGUGACGAGUGGCGAACGGGUGAGUAAUACAUGUGGAUAUCUCCCGUAGAAGGGUGUGACCAGGCGGAAACCGGGGUGAUACCGCCGGAGAAUAUCGUGAAACACAGGGGUAACUUGGGAAAUCCGGCUUUGGGGUCAGCCGUAGAUGGAUCCGCGCUGCAUUAGCUAGUUGGUAGGGUAACGGCCUACCAAGGCGACGAUGCGUAGCCGAGCUGAGAGGAUGAUCGGCCACACUGGAACUGAGACACGGUCCAGACUCCUACGGGAGGCAGCAGUAGGGAAUCUUCGGCAAUGGGCGAAAGCCUGACGCAGCAACGCCGCGUGUGUGAUGAAGGCCUUCGGGUCGUAAAGCUCUGUUGUUAGGGAAGAACACCUUUGUCCUUAAACGGUCAGGGCUUGACGGUACCGGAUGAAAAAGCACCGGCUAACUACGUG
rnacentral:rRNA from 1 species